rnacentral:rRNA from 1 species
CUGAGCAGUUGCACCACCUGCUGGUCAGACUAGGUAAUCAACCUGAAGCUAGGCAGGUUUGGGCCUGGCCAGUACUUGGUUGGGAGACCAAUGAGGAAUGCUGGGUUACUGCUGGAC